CCUACGGGAGGCAGCAGUAGGGAAUAUUGCUCAAUGGGGGAAACCCUGAAGCAGCAACGCCGCGUGGAGGAUGAAGGUCUUCGGAUUGUAAACCCCUUUUGUUAGAGAAGAUAAUGACGGUAUCUAACGAAUAAGGACUGGCCAACUCCGGGCCAGCAGCCGCGGUAAUACGGAGGGUGCAAGCGUUACUCGGAAUCACUGGGCGUAAAGGGCGCGGAGGCGGGAUAGCAAGUCAGAUGUGAAAUCCUAUGGCUUAACCAUAGAACUGCAGUUGAAACUGUGAUUCUUGAGUAUGGGAGAGGUAGGUGGAAUUCUUGGUGUAGGGGCAAAAUCCGUAGAGAUCAAGAAGAAUACUCAUUGCGAAGGCGACCUGCUAGAACAUAACUGACGCUGAUGCGCGAAAGCGUGGGGAGCAAACAGGAUUAGAUACCCCAGUAGUC
rnacentral:rRNA from 1 species